GUAGUCGUGGCCGAGUGGUUAAGGCGAUGGACUUGAAAUCCAUUGGGGUCUCCCCGCGCAGGUUCAAAUCCUGCCGACUACG
rfam:Astyanax mexicanus chromosome 3, whole genome shotgun sequence.